rnacentral:rRNA from 1 species
GGUAGUCCACGCCGUAAACGAUGGAUACUAGCUGUUGGAGGUAUCGACCCCUCCAGUAGCGAAGCUAACGCGUUAAGUAUCCCGCCUGUGGAGUACGGUCGCAAGACUAAAACAUAAAGGAAUUGACGGGACCCGCACAAGCGGUGGAUCGUGUUCUUUAAUUCGAUGAUAAACGAAGAACCUUACCAGGGUUUGACAUCCUUGGAAUUACUACGAAAGUAGUGAGUGCUUUAUUGAGCCAAGUGACAGAUGUUGCAUGGCCGUCGUCAGCUCGUGUCGUGAGAUGUUUGGUUAAG